GUUCGGAUUGUUCUCUGCAACUCGAGAGCAUGAAGGUGGAAUCGCUAGUAAUCGCAGAACAGCAUGCUGCGGUGAAUACGUUCCCGGGCCUUGUACACACCGCCCGUCACAUCAUGGGAGUUGGGUUUACCCGAAGACGGUGCGCCAACCAGUUCGCUGGGGGCAGCUGGCCACGGUAGGCUCAAUGACUGGGAUGAAGUCGUAACAAGGUAGCCGUAGGGGAACCUGCGGCUGGAUCACCUCCUUAAU
rnacentral:rRNA from 1 species